UCAAAUGAAUUGACGGGGGCCCGCACAAGCGGUGGAGCAUGUGGUUUAAUUCGAUGCAACGCGAAGAACCUUACCUACUCUUGACAUCCAGCGAACUUUCCAGAGAUGGAUUGGUGCCUUCGGGAACGCUGAGACAGGUGCUGCAUGGCUGUCGUCAGCUCGUGUUGUGAAAUGUUGGGUUAAGUCCCGCAACGAGCGCAACCCUUAUCCUUUGUUGCCAGCGAUUCGGUCGGGAACUCAAAGGAGACUGCCGGUGAUAAACCGGAGGAAGGUGGGGAUGACGUCAAGUCAUCAUGGCCCUUACGAGUAGGGCUACACACGUGCUACAAUGGCGCAUACAAAGAGAAGCGACCUCGCGAGAGCAAGCGGACCUCAUAAAGUGCGUCGUAGUCCGGAUCGGAGUCUGCAACUCGACUCCGUGAAGUCGGAAUCGCUAGUAAUCGUGGAUCAGAAUGCCACGGUGAAUACGUUCCCGGGCCUUGUACACACCGCCCGUCACACCAUGGGAGUGGGUUGCAAAAGAAGUAGGUAGCUUAACCUCCGGGAGGGCGCUUACCACUUUGUGAUU
rnacentral:rRNA from 1 species